rnacentral:misc_RNA from 1 species
GCCUUAUGACAUCAUGUGUGUGACAUCACACAUGACCUCAUAAUUAAAUUCUAAUUACUUGAAAUUUUGACUAAGUCAAAAAGAAGGAUAAUUAUACAUAAAAACAAUAUUAAAAAGCUAUUUUUCUAUCAUCUUCUCCAUGUUUGUCGUGAACAAUCACUUCUCUCAUUUCUCUCCCUAAGUUCCUCCAUGAGAGCUUAAAUUUAAGCUUUCAAAACCCUAAAUUUCACCAUAAAUUUCCUAGUUCCUCAAGUUAAACCUUGAUUUUGAGUAUUGAAAAGAAGUGUAGAAGAAAGAAAUUAGAGAAAAAUUGGGGAAUUAAGAAGAUUGGAAAGCUCAAGUGAGGUAAGAAUUUAAAUUGAAAUUUUUAGUUUAAAACAUAUGUUUUGAGUUAAUUUAACUUAGAUUUUAACUUAAAUUCAAAAGAAAAUAAUUGUGAAGGACAAAGUUGAAUUUUGGCCAACUAGGGUUUUGAUGUAUGUAUGCAUGAAUUUGGUGGAUUUGAAAGUGUAUGUGAGCUUACUUGUGUUGAAUAAUUAUGAUUAAAUGCAUUGAAUGGGUUAAAUGCAACAAUUUAGUGAGUUAGGGUUUUGGACACUUAGGGUUAGAGACAAGAAUGUGAGACACUUGUAAAUGGUGUCUUUGACCUAAUGUGAAGUGAAAAAUGGUCAUUUGUGACCAAAUGAGGUGUGUUAGAAGUGUUGGAAUUAAAGCCAAAUUCGGAGGGAGUGUGGUCAUGCUGCUGGCAGCAUGACU